GACAGAAGGGGCGAGCGUUGGGCGUUGAUACUGGGCCUAAAGCGUGGGUCGGUGGAGAAAAAGUCUUUUUUCUUUCCUUGGAAGGUUCCAAGCAGGCAAAAAGAACACCUUCUCUGGGGUUUGAGGUAGGGUUGGAGAAUGGCCCAAGAACCGGUAGAAUGGGUGUAAAUGGGUUAGAACACCAAUGGCGAAGGCACCAACCUAACAAAAAACCGACACCUAGCCACGGAAGCGUGGGGAGCAAAUGGG
rnacentral:rRNA from 1 species